AGUCUCGAGGUGUUUUACAUGUCGGAUUGCAAAUCCGAAGUGACCGGUUAUCGCCGGACGGGGCUU
rnacentral:tRNA from 1 species